rnacentral:rRNA from 1 species
GAUGAACGCUGGCGGCGUGCCUAAUACAUGCAAGUCGAGCGAACAGACGAGGAGCUUGCUCCUCUGACGUUAGCGGCGGACGGGUCAGUAACACGUGGAUAACCUACCUAUAAGACCGGGAUAACUUCGGGAAACCGGAGCUACUACCGGAUGAUAUAUUGAACUGCAUGGUUCAAUAGUGAAAGACGGUUUUGCUGUCACUUAUAGAUGGAUCCGCGGCGCAUUAGCUAGUUGGUAAGGUAACGGCUUACCAAGGCAAGGAUGCGUAACCGACCUGAGAGGGUGAUCGGCCACACGGGAACUGAGACACGGCCCAGACUCCGACGGGAGGCAGCAGUAGGGAAUCUUCCGCAAGGGACGAAAGCCUGACAGAGCAACGCGGCGUGAGUGAUGAAGGUCUUCGGAUCGGAAAACUCUGUUAUUAGUGAAGAACAAAAGUGUAAGUAACUAUGCACGUCUUGACGGUACCUAAACAGAAAGCCACGGCUAACUACGUG